rnacentral:rRNA from 1 species
ACUAUCGAGGUGGUCCCACCUGACCCCAUGCCGAACUCAGAAGUGAAACGCCGUAGCGCCGAUGGUAGUGUGGGGUCUCCCCAUGCGAGAGUAGGGAACUGCCAGGC